rnacentral:hammerhead_ribozyme from 1 species
AGGCGAAACGCCCUUCGGGGUGUCUGGCCGGGUGGUACCCGGUCACUGAUGAGCCAGCCAAAG